GCCCGGCACCGCGGGGCUUGAUCAGGGAGAAAUGAUAUCUUCAGGGAAAAGACUUCGAAAAAGUGCCUGAAGUGACACAACACAUGUUUUCUUCUGGUAUCUGGCUAAAGAAUGAAAUCUGGCAGAAAUAUUUAAUGAAGAGGAAUCUGAACAUAGCAGUUGAGAAAGAAAGAUUGGGAGAAGACUCCAGAUGUCGUAAAGCAAAGAGAGGAUGAGGCACAGGAAGCAGCUCUUAUUAUUUCUGUUGCACUUUGGCUCAGAGAACUCCAAGCAAUUGAUUCUAUCCUGAGGACAUAUUUUUUCAAUUUGAGAUAUAAUUAAUUUGUUUUCCAGUAAAAUAGAUAUUAGUAGAUCUAUGACAUACAGGAAACAAUCGAAAAUAGAGAUAAGUGGUAAUAAUACCUCAUUACUUAAGACAUCUUUUUCAGAAAAUUAUUCUUCAGUGUGUGGUGCAUUGGCUUUCUAGGAAAGAACGGGAGGGAGAACCCUGCUGACAUGAAUAAUGGCCUGGGGGAGAGGGGGAGAGAAGCAAGAGAAAGGAGCAGUUAAGAGGAAAAUGAUGUCAUAUGGAAAGAAGGAAAUAGAUCAGGGCGUCUUUAAGAGCUAAUAUCAAUUGGGUUUAGUGUCUGUAUUUAGAGGAUGGGAGAGAAGAGGUAUCAUCUAGGGUUUUGGCUUGGGCCACAGGUAGAUCUUGUUAAGGCUGUACGAAAUAGAAAAUCCAGGAGGUAACGCAGGUGUGUGGGGGAAAUGAUACAAAUGUAAAUCAUACAAGGAUAUGAACCCUGUAGAUUUUACAACUUUGAGCUCUAUCCUUCUUAGGCCUUCUCUUCUAAGCAGCAUAAACUACUGCUGCCUACAUGUUGCCUGUUCAUAAAGGCUGAGGCAGGGGAGUCGCUUGAACUCGGGAGGCGGAGGUUGCAGUGAGCCGAGAUCAUGCCAUUUCCCUCCAGCCUGGCGACAGAGCAAGACUCCAUCUCAAAAAAAAGAAAAGAGAAGAAAAAAACAAAGAACUUUAUGCACCUUCUGGAAUAACAAAAUGCAA
rnacentral:lncRNA from 1 species